UUUAUACCCCUUGGUGUCCACGCUGUAAACGAUGAGUGCUGAAUGUGGGGGCUUUUGCCUCUGUGUUGUAGCUAACGCGUUAAGCACUCCGCCUGGGGACUACGGUCGCAAGACUAAAACUCAAAGGAAUUGACGGGGACCCGCACAAGCGGUGGAGCAUGUGGUUUAAUUCGAUGCAACGCGAAAAACCUUACCACUUCUUGACAUGGAGGCUAGAUCCUUCUUAACAGAAGGGCGCAGUUCGGCUGGGCCUCGCACAGGUGCUGCAUGGCUGUCGUCAGCUCGUGUCGUGAGAUGUUGGGUUAAGUCCCGCAACGAGCGCAACCCUCAUCCUUAGUUACCAGCGGGUAAUGCCGGGCACUUUAAGGAAACUGCCAGUGAUAAACUGGAGGAAGGUGGGGAUGAUGUCAAGUCAGCACGGCCCUUAUGGGGUGGGCUACACACGUGCUACAAUGGCGACUACAAUAGGUUGCAACGUCGCAAGGCUGAGCUAAUCCGUAAAAGUCGUCUCAGUUCGGAUUGUCCUCUGUAACUCGAGGGCAUGAAGUCGGAAUCGCUAGUAAUCGUGGAUCAGCAUGCCACGGUGAAUACGUUCUCGGGUCUUUACCACACUGCAAAA
rnacentral:rRNA from 1 species